rnacentral:rRNA from 1 species
UACGUAGGGGGCAAGCGUUGUCCGGAAUCAUUGGGCGUAAAGCGCGUGUAGGCGGCUCGAUAAGUCUGCUGUGAAAGUUCAGGGCUCAACCCUGAAAUGCCGGUGGAAACUGUCGGGCUAGAGUCCGGAAGAGGCGAGUGGAAUUCCUGGUGUAGCGGUGAAAUGCGCAGAUAUCAGGAGGAACACCAAUGGCGAAGGCGACUUCCUGGCCUGUAACUGACGCUGAGGCGCGAAAGCGUGGGGAGCAAACAGG